rnacentral:rRNA from 1 species
GACGAACGCUGGCGGCGUGCUUAACACAUGCAAGUCGAACGGUAAGGCCCUUCGGGGUACACGAGUGGCGAACGGGUGAGUAACACGUGGGUGAUCUGCCCUGCACUUCGGGAUAAGCCUGGGAAACUGGGUCUAAUACCGGACAGGACCACUGCCUGCAUGGGUGGUGGUGGAAAGCUGUUGCGGUGUGGGAUGGGCCCGCGGCCUAUCAGCUUGUUGGUGGGGUGAUGGCCUACCAAGGCGACGACGGGUAGCCGGCCUGAGAGGGUGACCGGCCACACUGGGACUGAGAUACGGCCCAGACUCCUACGGGAGGCAGCAGUGGGGAAUAUUGCACAAUGGGCGCAAGCCUGAUGCAGCGACGCCGCGUGAGGGAUGACGGCCUUCGGGUUGUAAACCUCUUUCAGCACCGACGAAGCGCAAGUGACGGUAGGUGCAGAAGAAGGACCGGCCAACUACGUGCCAGCCGCCGCAGUAA